rnacentral:rRNA from 1 species
CCUACGGGAGGCAUCAGUGAGGAAUAUUGGUCAAUGGACGCAAGGCUGAACCAGCCAUGCCGCGUGAAGGAAGACGGCUCUAUGAGUUGUAAACUGCUUUUGUACGAGGGUAAACGCAGAUACGCGUAUCUGUCGGAAAGUAUCGUACGAAUAAGGAUCGGCAAACACCGUGCCAGCAGCCGCGGUAAUACGGAGGAUUCAAGCGUUAUCCGGAUUUAUUGGGUUUAAAGGGGGCGUAGGCGGUCUGAUAAGUUAGAGGUGAAAUCCCGAGGUUCAAGUUCGGAAUUGCCUCUGAUACGGUUCGGCUAGCGAGUAGUUGCGGUAGGCGGAAUGUAUGGUGUAGCGGUGAAAUGCUUAGAGAUCAUACAGACCCCCGAUUGCGAAGGCAGCUUACCAAGCUACUUCUGACGUUGAGGCACGAAAGCGUGGGGAGCAAACAGGAUUAGAUACCCCAGUAGUA